rnacentral:rRNA from 1 species
UACGGAGGGGACUAGCGUUGUUCGGAAUUACUGGGCGUAAAGCGCACGUGGGCGGAUUUGUAAGUCAGGGGUGAAAUCCCGGGGCUCAACCUCGGAACUGCCUUUGAUACUGCAAAUCUCGAGUCCGGAAGAGGUGAGUGGAAUUCCUAGUGUAGAGGUGAAAUUCGUAGAUAUUAGGAAGAACACCAGUGGCGAAGGCGGCUCACUGGUCCGGUACUGACGCUGAGGUGCGAAAGCGUGGGGAGCAAACAGG